ACAGGGGGACGGAGAGACUGAGGGACGGAGGGAUGGAGGGACAGAGGGACUGAGGGACAGAGAGACGGAGAGACUGAGGGACAGGGCGACAGAGGGACUGAGGGACAGAGAGACUGAGGGAUGGAGGGACAGGGGAAUGGAGGGACAGGGGGAUGGAGGGACGGAGAGACUGAGGGAUGGAGGGACAGAGGGACAGCGGGACUGGGGGAUGGAGGGACAGAGGGACAGCGGGACUGGGGGAUGGAGGGACAGAGGGACGGAGAGACUGAGGGGUGGAGGGACAGAGGGACGGAGAGAAGGAGAGACAAGGAGGAUGGAGGGACAGAAGAAAGAAGGGACAAGAUAGAUGGAGGGAAGGAGAGAUGCAGAGACUGAAGGAUGGAGAGACAGGAAUGAAGCAAUAAGAAGGAUGGAGGGUUGGAGGGAAGGAAAGAUGGAAAGCCUGAGGGAUGGAAGGAAUGAGGAAUGAAGGGACAGAGGAAGGGAAGGAUGCAGGGAUGAAGGGACAGAGGGAUGGAAAGAUGGAGGGACGGAGGGAAGGAGAGAGAGAGGGACUGAGGGGUGGAGGGACUGAGGGAUGAAGGGACGCAGGGUUGGAGUGAUGAUGGGCCAGAGAGAUGUGGCAGUGGAGGGCAGCCUGGGACCUGGGUCACAGCAAUGUCUUAAGCUGGAUUUGAGCAGAGUCAUCAUCUCUACAGGGAAACUACCCUGAGCUGCCAGCUUGGAACAGUGGUGCCAUCUGUGCUGCACACAGGGUGCAGCCUUCCAGCAUUCCUGCAACCUGUGCCCUGCUCCUUGCUGCAGUGCCACACAGCACACGGCAUGGCACAGUGGCCUCUUCUUUCCCUCCUGAGCCACCAUGGCAUCCUGCUACCCUGGAAGAGAAGAAACAUGAGAUGGUUGCUUUCCUUGCCAUCAGGAAGUUGAGGAAAUGAGCACUUUGGUUUUGGUAGUCCCUGCUGUGAUCUUGCCUCUCAGAGUUUACUCAGAGUGAGUUUCCUUCACCUGGCUUGGAGGACACUAAAUGGGCACCAGCAGCUGUAGUGGAAGGCAAGGAGCAACACUGUCUGCAGAAUUGAUUUUCUACACUCUGAUUACAAAUACUGAGGCAUUUUAUUUUGUUUUCUCCAACAUGCGUGAGAAAGAAAGUGAAUUUUGUUAAAAGCCCUUUUUUCCCCAGCAGCGAACAUAGCUCAGCUGGCAGCUCCCUCGUGUUUGUUAAGAUGCAGCACAGUUCAAGCUGUUCAGCACUUACAGGGUCAGGUCUGGCUCUUGGGGUCAUGCUUUCAUUGUAAACCAACCAAUUUUAUGUUCUUUUAAAACAGAAGAGCCCUCCUCAUCUUUGAAUCCACUGCUACCUGAGCCAGCAAAGUGACAGCUUGCAUGAGGGGGGCAGGGGGGCUUGGGAGGACCUUUGCAGCCCCUACUCAGUUGGGUGGGGAUGCAGAGAAGGUUUGCUGAGUAACUCAAGCUUAAAACUUCCAAAUAGUUCUUCAAGACACCCAAUAAAAUUUCAGCUAGCCAAUCUCAACAUUCAACCUAAAUGUGGGAACAGGUUUUGUUUACUUAUAAACAAUUAAAGCAAUUACAAAUAAUUUUAGAAAAUCAAUGAAAUUAAUUUAGAGCUAAGAUAGAAAUUGGAUCACUGAAAAAUUAUGAAUUUGGGUACAGAGAACAUCUAAUCACUAAAGGAUGUUCUUUCCACUUUUGGUUUGACUUUCUUGAUAGUUUCCCCAGUAGGGAAAGCAAUGACAUAAGAAAGUUUAAUAACAGAACAACAAAACAAGGAAAUAUAAAACUGGAAUAAGUCUCACAUCAUAUAAACUUACCAUAAAGAUGCUUAUCAAGGAUUAGGAAGCAACAAAUAAUUUAAGGCUGAACAGUCCAAGUCAUUAACUUUUAAUAUAAAGUUACUUCAUAUCUCACCAUACUGAUGUUUUUAUCUCCUAGAAUAAUAACAAUUUUGCUGAAUGACUUCCUGCAUAUUAGCUGCUUUUCUUUUGUGAGCACAUAAAGAAAACACAAAACUGUUAGAAAAAUUUUACAAUUGUGAAAGAAAAAGAAGCCUUUUAUUUGCAUUUUUGUAUUAGCUAUAAGACCUGGAGGAGACAAAAGUUUUGUCUGUUUGCUUCAGAUUUUAUACAUCAGGUAUUCUGAAAUUUCAGGCAGACCACAGACCUGUCUUAUUUUCUGGAUUAGAGAGCAAAUAUAAAACUUGUCCUUAAGCAGAAACUGUGCUGCAAGCACAAGAAGCUGCCAGCUGUGGGACUAAAUAUCUGCUACUCUAAGACUUUGUCCUCAACAACAUUUGGCAGAAGAUGCCUGAAGAACAUUAAAAACACAGGCAGCCCCUGCUUUUCUGGGGUCUGUGUCUCAAGGGUGCAGAAGAGGCAGGAAGGUGCCUGUUGAAGCAAUACCAUCUAGUGGCAGAUGCAGAAAGAGAAUCCAAUCCCCCAACAGGAGCAGAGCUGGAAAGGUGAAAGCUGAAAAGACAUUAUUUAAAAACAAAACCACCUGCUUGAGAGCAUUUUUUUCCAUUACUUGUUUUCAUCGUAAUGUAUCAAAAAGUAUUAUAUACAAAUAAAUAUUUAUCUGUUCUGUGAAACUCUACACCCCAGAAAAGAUGUUUCAUGAAAGAUGAAAUGAUGGAUUGUCUAACUCUGGAAUUCUCCAUGAUAGUCCAGGCUGAAAGCCCAACAACCACAGAGCAUGUUACACAGUUGGCCACCCAUCUUCUGUGGGAAUAGAACCACAGUGACAUCAAUACUUGGGUUGGCAAAGAGAACAUUUAUCUGGGCAUUACAGGGCUGUAUGCCCUGUUACUGCACAUCCCAAGAUAAGUUAGAGCAAAGAGCUCAGACACCCCUAUUAGCUAAUGGAACUUGGAAGUCUCACAGUGUAAUUUUCACCUCUCUCUAGUAUUGCUGUAAUUUUGCAAUGAAAACAUAGGGCUGCCUUCCAAGUGCAUUGUGUAAUACCUGUGGCACCUACAUAAACAGAGUGGGAAAGGCUUCAUUCCCACAGCUGAUCUAAGUCAACCAGUACUUACCAAUUUCAGGUGAAACUCCAGAUACUGAAGGAAACAUAUGCUUUUUCUAUCAAGAGAAAUGUAAACAAAGUCUUACAAGUUGUAUGCAGUUUAACCAGUAUGUGACAUUCUAUAUUCCUGCCCAGACAAAUGGUGCUGACUACAAAGUGGGUAGUGUCAAUUUUUUUUGUAGGUUUGGAGGGGUACUUUUCCAAAACCUAGUGUGUGUUAGCACAAAUGCAUGGAAACAUAUCCCCUUCCCAGUGCUAUUUGGGCUAUAGAUAGCUGUGGAAAAUGCAGAAGGUUUUUGUGAGGAUGGAGAGUUAUAGUGGUGGUGUUUCUGAUGGCCUCAUCCUCAACCAGUGAUGGGUUCUUGUUGCCAGGUGACAUUGCCUUUGGCUGACAAAGGGGAAGCUUCUGGUGUCUUCUCAACCUCCACAAAAACCUUGCCACAAAACCCAAUACAGUACAAAAUUAUUUAAACUCUAAUACAGUGGCCAUUAAACAAUUUUAAAACAGUUAUGACAAUUAGCUUUGACAUUAACAGGAAUAGCCAAUACCUGAAAGGAAACUCACAGCCUAAAGGAGACCACAAGAAAGCUCUUGAAACAGAAGAAAUCUUAGUAUUGGUAAAGCAUUACAGGAGUUUCAGUGGGGUCUUUAACUAGUGGAUUCUUUACAUUGCAUGGGCACAGUUUCUGCUUUUGAGCUCCCUAGACAUGACCUCAUUCCACUAGUUCAUGAGCUGUUUUCAUUGCACCCUUUCCCUGAGGGAUUGUUCCCAUCUGAAGCACAGAAACAUCAAACCAGCACCUGGCUGUUUUGAGACUCAGGUGGUGCCUCUUUUCUCACCAGGAAUGUUGUUAUGGAUCAAAGCAUUGCCUUCAAAGAUCUUCCAAUGGAUGGACUAAGGCUCAGCUCAUUACCCCCAAGUGCUGAGACAAUACAGUGGCUCUAUUUAUCCUUUUGCCAUAAGUGUAACUCUUUGUGGAACAGAAAAAGGGGGUGGGUGGACUGUGGAUAAUCCUCUUAUUUGUCACCAUAGCAGGAUAAAAGAGUGCAAUGACAAAUAAAUUUAGAUAAAUUCUA